CAAACGCUUGCUUUCAGUUUCCGCGACACCACAGCACACAGACACCGGCAAAGGAAUACUCUUUAUGAUCUAAUAUGGAGUUUGCCUGCAGUCACGUUGUGUGUCACUGGAGGCCUGACGGAGCAGGUAUUCCUCUUCUCAAGCACCAGCAUGACGACAAAGGCUCUGUAAAUCAACAGGAAG